GUUGCAGCUAACUUCCAAAAACAUUUAAUGCAGAGGGGGGCGCUCAUGACUCUCGUUUGGAAGACAGGCAAACUGUUUGUAUUGCAGAUACAAGCCUGAAGUCAAGGAUUUANAAGGAUUUAACAUUUAAGCCUUCAAAUCCAACAUAUUUUUCUUGAAUAUGCCUUUGAUUUCUUCUGUAAUUGUGGUUUACAAUUCAUAGCAUUGUUGGUCCACUCCAUUAAAUAAUAUCUAUUUUUUUUGUCUUCAAAAAAA
rnacentral:misc_RNA from 1 species